rnacentral:rRNA from 1 species
GACGAACGCUGGCGGCGUGCUUAACACAUGCAAGUCGAACGGAAAGGCCCUGCUUUUGUGGGGUGCUCGAGUGGCGAACGGGUGAGUAACACGUGAGUAACCUGCCCUUGACUUUGGGAUAACUUCAGGAAACUGGGGCUAAUACCGGAUAGGAGCUCCUGCUGCAUGGUGGGGGUUGGAAAGUUUCGGCGGUUGGGGAUGGACUCGCGGCUUAUCAGCUUGUUGGUGGGGUAGUGGCUUACCAAGGCUUUGACGGGUAGCCGGCCUGAGAGGGUGACCGGCCACAUUGGGAUUGAGAUACGGCCCAGACUCCUACGGGAGGCAGCAGUGGGGAAUAUUGCACAAUGGGCGGAAGCCUGAUGCAGCAACGCCGCGUGCGGGAUGACGGCCUUCGGGUUGUAAACCGCUUUCGCCUGUGACGAAGCGUGAGUGACGGUAAUGGUAAAGAAGCACCGGCUAACUACGU